rnacentral:lncRNA from 1 species
CUGUGCACCAAAGAAGACUGAGAAGCACAAAAAUAUUAUGAAAAAUCUUACCAAAUCCCUUUUGUUGAGAGUCCUACUUGAUAUUCUCUUAAGCAGGCAGGAAGGAGUAAGUCCCUCUCCAAAGGAGACUCAGGAGGAGUUGCUGUGCAUAGUUAUUUCAUGAUGAAUGCUGCAGCUCUUCUUGCUGAGCACAGAUCCAGAGAGGAGAAAGGAGACAAACCUCCAGGUUUACAGCAGAUCAGAGGAAGGAAAAUCAAUCUGUGUGGGGCACUGAGCACGGCUGCAAUAAAGGAGAAAGAAAUAAAGCAGACAGUGAAAAACGACGUGUUCUCUCCAGAAGGGAAAGCAGAAGCCUCAAGCCAAAGUCCAAAGGUUAG